GCCACGAACCUCCGCCACUGCCUGGUCUCAGUGGGUGCCUGCGCCCGUGCCUCACCUGCCUGCCUGCCCAGGUCGUCCCGAGGCUCGCCCCGCCGGCCGCCGGUGCUCCACGGCGCUGCCCAUGGCCAAGCCCGAGAGCCGACUUCGGGCGCCAGACCGGCUGGAAGGUGGCGCGGCUCAGCAACAUUCAGAAAGAAUAAAUGACCAGGCUGACGAUGAUUGAACUUAUUGUAGAGUGUUAUAUUUAAUCUGAAGAUACUGAAAUUAUAACGAGAGAUAACAAGAGAUCACAGAGAAGCUUGUGUCAAGUGCAAGAUCUUUUCAAUAGAUCAAAUGGCAUUUAAAGAUUUCAAGAUGACUGAGAUAAUAAGAGACUUGCAGGCAGGGAUGUCUUAGUCCUCACUGCACCCCUGGUGUAUUUCAAGGUGGUUCCAAACCUGGAUUUAAAAACAAACUGCCCUAACAAUCGUAAGAAACAAAAUCCAAAGGCGCAUCAGCCUUCACAGCCCAAGGCCCAGGGCGUCAUCAUCUGAAUGUGAAUGAACACAGUUGUUCCAAGCUCGCUGAGUUCUUGCCAUUCCGAGGGCUAUGGGUGGGCAGACCAGUUCUCCUGGGAGCUUAUUGAAACACAGACUCCCAGGCCUCUCCCCAGAACUCUUGGAUCAGAAUCUGCAUUUUGAACUACAUCUCUAGCGGAUCGGUGUGCACGUAAAAGUUUUCAAAGCACUGUUUCUGGUGAUUGUCCUGAGGCAGACAGAGCUCCUAGGGGGAUGCUUUAGUCACCUCCCACUAGCAACUCCUUUCUAGAUGCUUCAACCCUAAUCUCUCACUAAUUGGGAAAACAAUGUUGUAUGGGUUGACUUCAGACUACCUAUGGGGCAGUUUGCCUUUAUCAUGCUCAUGGUAUCAUGGAAUUCUCAGAAGCUCAGCAAAACACUGUGACUGAAAUUUUCUGGCCCUAAAGCCUUGCCCCCCCCCCACCAUGCUGCCCUCCCUGGUUGGCCCAGGUCCCCCCUUCCUUCAGUCCUGAAGAAUUACAUUCAUUAUGCAGGUAACCUUUUGUAUACAUGGAACCUCCCUGCCGUGCCAUGGAAGCAACAGAGCAUAGGAAGUCUGGAAGAGGGAGUGUUGGAAGAGUCCUGAUCUUUUUCAAGGGGAAAACAGGGCCAAUUACUCCUCCUUUUCCCAGAUAGCCAAUGUGGCCCAGAGAAACUUAUUAACAUUAUGUGGACUGACCUGGGGUCUUUUCUACCCUGGACUCCUUCCACCCCAUCCUACCUCCCAGCAAUUACCAUAAGUAAAUCCAAACAAAAGUGAAUGUCAACACUGGAUGACAAGUGUCAUGUGUAGGCAAUUUCAAGACAAUAAAUAUUAAUGCUAGUCUUGAGAUCUCACUGUCCUUCUGUAGACUGACAGGCGUGAGUAAAUCUGUUUCCUCUUUCUUGGUUUCCAAGAUGAUCUGCCAAGGAUGGAAAUUUGACAGCUCUGCCAUGCGCUGUUAAGUUAGCAGUGCAAAGGUAAAAGUGAAGACAGUUUUUUCUCCUAAAGAUGAACAAAAGAUCGUAUACUGUUGAUUGCUCAGAAGUUUGGUUGGAUAUGGAAAUGACAGUUCUGAUCAAACUGUCUUGGCUCAGGUAUCUGUGCAUUCCAGAAAAUUAAAUCACUCAGUACUCGGGGAUGCUUGGAGAGAAACAAUUCUUGUAGAGCCUCACAAGAGCUCUUGUCCUUCCUGCUAUGUUAUCAUUCUUUGGAGUAAGCUCCCCCCUCUGCCUGGAAUGCACUUGCGCUGCCCACAGAAGGCAUCUCCAUUCAAAGGCAAAGCAGCACAGUGGGCUUUACAGAUGGCCUGUGGAAUUUUAGUCAUCACACUUCCUGGUUCUGUGACCUUGAGAAGGUCAUUUAACCUUAAUAGCAUGUUUCCAUGUCUGCCUUGGGGAGAGAAACAGGCCAUUAACAUUCGUUGAAUGCCCACUGAGUGCCAGGCACUGCACUGUCUCUUUGGCACGGGUGAUCUUAUUGAGUCACGAUGACACCCCUAUGAAGUAGAUUUUAGCCCAUUUUGCAGAACGGCACAUUGAGCCCCAGAGAGGUGAGAAACUUACCUGAGGUCAGUUAGGUAUAAGAAUUCUAGGGACUUCCCUGGUGGCGAAGUGGUUAAGAAUCCGCCUGCCAAUGUAGGGGACACGGGUUCGAGCCCUGGUCCGGGAAGAUCCCACAUGCCGCGGAGCAAUUGAGCCCGGGCACCACAACUACUGAGUCCACGUGCCACAACUACUGAAGCCCACACACCUAGAGCCCGUGCUCCGCAACAAGAGAAGCCACCACAGUGAGAAGCCGUGCACCUUAACAAAGAGCAGCCCCGGCUUGACACAACUAGAGAAAGCCCGCACACAGCCAAAAAUUAAAUAAAUAAAUAAAUUUAUAAAAAGGAAAAAGAAUUCUAGCCUGGAUCUGUCCAAUACAAAAGCUUCUUUGCUUUUCUACUACUGCACACUGCCUUUUCAUUGCUUAAAAAUAUAUAUAAAAUAAAAGGAGACUAACCACCUCUUACUAUCGUUACAAGUAUUAGAGGAGAUAAUUUAUACACGAGUGCCUACC